CGGAUUUUUGUUUUUCAAUAUUCUCUCCGGUCGCUCAGAGUUAUUCGCUUUAUUCGCGCAAACAAAAAUUUCACUCUCAUUGGCACCACGAGAGAAAAAAUAUAUUUUUCUUUUUUGCUUUACCACAUUAAUAAAUAAUGUGUAUACGUUUAUGAUGUAGGAAAAUCAAAUAUAAUUAAAAGCAUUAUACCUAACCUGUACAGGGCUAUUCACUAGGCGUGCUCACACCAUUGUUUUAGUUAAAUUUUGCAUGUAUUCAAAUUUUUAUUUUUGAAAUUUUCAAAUGUAUAUUCAAGCCGAUAUUUUAAAAACACUAAGAUUUUUUACAUUUCCUGUGACGAGAUGUUCAAUUUUUAAAUUUAAGUAGCCGAAAAUUAGUGGGGUAUUAUUUGUAUAGCGGCACAGCGAGUAAUGUUUUAUUAGUGCGUCACAAUUCUCCCCCUAUCUAUACUUAAAAGUGGAAUACCUCGUCAACGGGUUGACGAAAAUCAAAAAUUUGAACACCAACAAUUAUUUAAACUAAUACUCCGUAUAUUUAUGAAGUUUUUAGUAUAGGUUCUUAUUUGAAAAAUCAAAGUUGGGAUCGCCACAGGAUACUGCUUAAAAUGUUGUGAAAAAUCUGAGAAUUCGAAAAUAUCAACUUUAACUACACUUGAAAAUUACAUAAAUCAGAAUUUGAAUGUACACAAAAUUUAACAAAAAAACCGGGUGAGAACGAUUAGUGAAUAGUUCUGUAUAGACUAUAGCUA